UUUUUUUUUUUUUGCUAUUAUCUUAUUUCUUUUAGUAUGUUGUCUUUUUUUAUUUUGUAUAAUUCUCUUUAUAAUGAAGUUUAAGAUAUUUAUAUAUGAUUUCAAUUUCAAAUUUUGAAAAUCUAGCUAGCUAAAUACAAAUGGUUGUAAUUAGUGACAAAACAUUUUAUCCAUAAAAGCUUUACUUUUACUUUUUAAGACGAUCACAUAUUCAUCACCAAAUUAGAACAUUUGGUGACAAGAGUAAAUUUUGUCCCUAAAUAGCCCACUUAUUACCUACAAAUCAACUUUAUAUUUUGUGAUAAUAGCUAUCGUCACUAAUUAUGACAUAUUCUAGUGAAAAAAUUAUUUCGUAGGUAAAAAAAGUAUUGUUAGUGCCGACUUGAUCGCUUUCAGCUACAAAGUGAUAAGAAAGUAAUGUUGUCACUAAUUUAUCUAUUUAGAGACAAAUAGAGAAUGUGUAUGUAAAAGAUAGUAUUAAGUGACAAAAUAAUUUUUGUUCCACGAUGAAAUACAUAGAAGAUUAGAGACAAAUUAAUUCAUCACUAAUUCAAAUAAAUAGUUAGCGACACAUCAUUCUCGUCAGCAUUAUAACUUCUUUAGUGACAAAAAAAAUAAUAUUAACUACAAAAAAUAUAAUUUCUAUGACGAACAAGAUCGUCAUAAAAAAUAUGCAUUUGGGGACAACAAAUAUUUUUGUAGUUAAUGCAAAAUUAUUUAGUGACGAAGCACUAAGUCAUCUCAAUAUUCAUUCAUCGACCCAUGAUUUAGAGACGAACAAGUGACGAUUAUAUUUUCUUUACGCAAGAUUUUUUGUGACAAAAUAUAAUUUUUUCAGGAUAAAAUAUAAUUUUUUCAUGACAAAAUAUUUUGUCACUGAUAGUCGAAUUUGUUGUAGUGAUGGAACAUAGGCCUAUGAAACAUAAGCUGGGAUAGAAUUACUAGGCCUAGGCAACACAACUGCCCAACUCAAGCUUAGCCUCGCUCCGUAAAUACUCGCAUGGGUACAUAUAACAACUCCAGCCAAAGUGUGAGUUGAACUACAUGCUCUCACCAUGUUCAAGCCUAACUCAAAAUUACAAGGUAUAACACAUACCACCAUUUUACUAGUAUAAACCAUGAAUUCGAUACCCCAUGUGUUUUCACAACUUCUCAUCUCAAGAUAAAUUCUUCUUACCAUUUCAACAACUAAAUUCAACCUCUUACUAAGAAUUCACUAACGCACAAUGCACCCAUCCACUUAUAUACCAACAUGACAUUGAAGACUAAUAACCACACAUGAAAUUUUAGGCAAACAACCCAUUGACACCUAAUUUUUUGCCCUCCAUAAUUAUGUUUAAUCUCGAGUUUCUUUGAUUUUCAAAUAAAAUUAUAACAAUUAUUUUUUCAAAUAUAUACAUUUUAAAAUAUUUAUUUGGGAUAAAUUUAUCAUUUAACUGAUAAUUAUAUAUUUUUGUAUUUAUAUAUACAAGAUUGUAUAAAUGAUGUCAUUUAAAUGAACAUUUUCAUCAAAAUUGAACUUUAAAUUAAGGAUUAUUAGAAAAAUAAAUUUAAAUAAUUAAAAUCCUAAUUCAAAUAUAAUUUAUUAUUGAAAAUAAUUUAUUUAUAAAAUAUUUAGUUGAUUUUUUUAAAUCAAGAAGCUUGAGAUUAAACAAGGUGUUAAUUUGUAUCGAAUUUCAAUUCAAUUUAACCAAUCUAUUAAAUUUGAUCAUAAUUGAAACUAAAUUAGCCACAAUUGCAAUGCAAUUGGCCAAUUAACUUUUAAUUUGGUCAAAAUUUAAAUAGAAUAGAUUAGAUCAUAAUUGAAAUUAUUUUUAUAACCUUUAAUCUAACGAAAUUAUUUUUUAUAAAUAAUUUCGAAGACUACCAAUUUUCUAAUUUAAUUAGGGUUAUUGUAACCCAAUUAAAUUUAAUUAGGGUUAUUUUAACCCCAAUUAAAUUUAAUUGGGAUAAUUAAAUAACCCCAAUUAAAACCUAAUUUUUAACCCAAAAUCAGCCCCAACAUUAAACAUUUUCAUCCAGGCCCAAAUCAGUGCCCCCCGACCACUCCAAUAACAACCCAAUUUAGCAUCAGCAGCCACCAUUCAUUCUUCCUGUCCAACAGAUCAACUCGACCCGUCGGCCCAUAUUUCUUUCUUCUUUACCCAGCAACGACAACAUAUGGCUUCAAUAACAGCUGACACUAACGAUUACACCCUCAACAAACCCAACAACAAUGAAAAUCGACCAACAAUUCCAAAUCGCCGACCCGUUCGCAACCCGGAUCAGCGACUCAAACCCGGUGAAUAACAGCCCAAUGUACAAGCAACAAGAUUCCAUCCAAAUCUUUCAACGACAACAGACAACAACACCAAUAUCGAACAUCAACAACCAUACGACAACAACGAUGAACGGGUCAGCCAUUGCCGACCCGACCUAGUGACCUUUGUAACAAUCCGAACCAGCUAACCCAAACUCAACCGCGAUGUCAACCUGGUAACCCGACCCGUAUCCACCAUGGUUUCAAAGAAAAUUCUAAAAGCUGGAUAACUCAGCUACCAACGUUCAAAAUUUCAAUCUGUACUGAAUGGUAUAAUUUCCAGCUCAACCAUCUUAUCCCUUUUUCAAAAUUUGAAUUCCCCUAUUUGAAUUUCAAAAAUAAACCCCCAUUUUCCCUUCUAUAUAAAGCCGUUUUUGGGAAUCAGAAAAGGGGGUGGAAAAAUUUCUCUUGGGAGGUGAGAAACAAAAAACAAGAGAGAAAAUCUCAAACAAAAAAAGGGGGACCUUCGAGCAAAAGAAACAGAUGAUACAGUCUUUCUUUAGUAGAAAUUUGAGCAAAGUUCUUUUAUUUUUUCUCCGGGAAAUUGGUCAAAAAUUGGAAUUUCUAAACUGAGGACGACAUAUUUUGAUGGCAAUUGAUUCUGAAAACUUCACGUCACAUUUUGCUGCUCCUGAAUAGGUAACAUUCUAUUUUUAUUUAGUUUCGAUUGUAUUCUACUUCAUCUGUUCAUUCUAUAGUCAUAAGUGUUAUUCCAAAAAUCUUGUAUGGUGGGUUGCAUGUUGUAGAGGUCUUAAAGACCAUAGGUUGCUAUUUUAGUGAAAGAAAAUAUUGGUUGUAUUGUUACGUUAGGAUCAAUUCCUGUUCUGAUUGUCUGAUAUGUGGUUUUUGUCGCCUUUAUCUUGAUUUCGUAAUGUCAUCUACUUUUGGCGUUAUUGAUUAAUUUUCGACCUAUUGUCUCAUCUUGUGUACCGUUUGUGGUUUGAAUCGCAGUUUCAUAGUUAAAGAUUAUAUUUUGAUUCUCGCUUGACAGUGUUUAGCCUUAUGUUGCCUUGUUCGUAGUUGUAUUUUUAUAAUCUUGAGUACUGAGAGUUUUUUGCUGUAGACGGCUUUGAAAGCCAUAGGUUGUUGUGAAAAAAUUAUGAAUGAUGUUGUUCUUGAUGUUCUUUCAAGAUUUUUUUAGAAUCAUUGUUCCAGUUUUUUGAUGUGUUUUGUGUGCUGAUUCGUGUGCAUGUUCGUUUAUUUCGAUCAUUGAUCGAUUCCUUGUAUUCCCUUAGCGAUAUAUCUGUUUAUUGACCAAACACAAGCUGAUUUGAGCAUAUUUGUAAUCUACAAAGUGUUUUUUUCUGUUUUGCUGAAGUAUUGGGAAUACUGUAAGCUUUUUGCCGUUUAAACCAAGCUCCCUGUUGAAGCUGUUUGUCCAUUGAUUUUUCUCUAAUUCCUAAUACUGGUAAAAUGUCAAUGGCUCAAGAAGGGAAAUAGUUUCUUCUCAAAAAUUAAAAACUUGAGAAAUGAGACGUAUUCUUGUUAUGAUAUGUUUUCAUCUCUAAAGUCUUCUAAUAUUCGAGUCCCACUGAUGAAUAUUGAUUCUUUGUUAUUUAUGUGUUAUGUUUGAAGAAUCUAGUGUAAAAGAUUUCUUUAGCCUGUCCUGUGCUGAUCAACUGUUGUGGUCAAGAGUCUUUUCUUAUGUCUCAUAGUAGUUUAGGCUCCAAUUGGGUCCCAAGUUCUCUGUGUUUCCUGUGUAAAAUUUUUUUAAUCACAUGAGGAAGACAUAAGGCGCUUGAUUCAUUUCUACUAUCCUUUGGUUUCAUCAACGAGAUAAGUUUUCUUCUUUAGAAUUCCAUUUAUGUUCAAUUUAUUACCCUCCGAUGUCUGUUAAUGACCAGGGAGGCUAAGGCCAGAAUUUUAUCUUGAAAUAUUGUUAUUUUAUUUUAAGAAUUGAUGCAUACGUGAUUAACUUUAAAGUCUUUUUCCUCUCUCUUUCUUUUCAAAAGGGACUUUGGUUAGGGAGUAGUAGUUUGUUUGGAGUGUAACUUCUUGGUUAUCAAGAUUGUUCGUUUCUCUUAUUGCAUUUGUGCCUAAUUUGUUACUAUUUUGCUUUCCUAGCCUAUUUAAACUUGUUAUUUUAAGAUAGAUUGAAUCACUGCCUUUCUGUUGCUCAAUUUGCCUGUGGCACCUCAAUCUAAAAUUGGUAAACCAUGAACUUUUCACUUUGUUUUUUUUAAUUUGUUUCUAUCAUUUCGAGUUUACUGAAUCAUUUGUGGGUUUUUUUCUCUAGUUGUAAUGUAUAUAUAUUUCCUUUUAGCACUAUUAUUAUCAUUGUUAUCAUUAUUUUUAUACGACAGUGCAUUUUCGUAAUAUUAAUACGUUAAUAGCCCAUACUUAGAAUAUGUAUUAAUUCGAUAUCAUUUUUCUUUGUGUGGUAUGUGAAUUUGUUCUCGAGUCCACAAUGGGCUCCCUCCCUUGGCAAUGUCGGUGGGUCAAUGAGGCCCAUCUUCUCAAGUCUGCCUCAAAGAAGGUUCAAAGACCAAUCUCAUGGCGUAUGGAUACGAGAAGUCGGAGGAAGAAAAAUGGGUUAAAGUCCCAUCUUUGAAGCGGCCACGAGACUCAAAUGUCUCAUUUUUAUUUUAUUCAUUUCUUCAUUUGUUGUUGUCUUUUUAUUAUUAUUUAUUUCUUCAUUUCAUUAUUUCGUCAUUUGGGCCUCGAAGUCAAAGUUGUAAAUUUAAUACAGGUGAAGCGGGUUUGGGCCAAAAAGAUUCAAAACAUAGAUUAGGACAGGUGAAAAAUUGGUCAAAAUCCCAAUUAGAUUAUGACAGAUUUCGUUGAUUUGGGCCUAAUGGCCUAAGUUUUUUACUUCCUCCUCCUUUUCUCCUUGUUUAUUUGUUUUUUAAAUUUGUUUAGACUUAGUUAAAAUCCCUACUAAGUCGUCCAAACCUAUUUUAUACAAGUUUUUUUCUAAAGUCAAUCACUUUUCAAAUCAAUCUUUUUAAAGUUAGUCAAAAGAUAUUUUUAAAAAGUCCAGAUAACCGCAAGUUAGCGAAUGUUUUAAGUGUCUUAAACCUUCCUAAAACGUUAAUAGGAAUUGCUUACGCAGAAUCUUUCAACUUUAAAUGAUUUUUUUGUUUUGGAUCGUUUAAAGUAUCUUAUAAUGAUUUCUUAAUUCCUUUUCAAAAUUAAGUGGUGACUCAAAAGUCAAAAUUUUUGCAAAACAGAAAUGGCGGCUCUGCUGGGGAUAUUUAAUUAGCUUCUAACCAAAUGUUUGAUUUCAUCUUUUGAUUAAAUUUUUAAUUGCUUAUGUGUUUAUAUGUUUUGAUUUUGUUGAAUUUUAAUUAUUGCAUCUCAUAGUGUAAUCUCGCAUUGAUUCAUUAAAUUGUUUUGGGGUUUCGUGGAUGUCCUGACUCCUGUUGUUCAACUUCAAAUAAAGUGUUAAAAAUACGAUGGUUUAUUAGCACGUGAUUCAUCUGAUGACUGUUCGUAUUUUUUAAACCCAAGUAGUCCGCUUGGGAACCUGGUUCAAACUCACUCUAGACACCCAGGGUAGAGCUAAAUCAAAACCCUAUUUUAGGCAUAAUCCUAGGACAACCCAAUACCCGAGGGGGUAUUGAGCCCAUUAGAAAACUUGCCCUGCGUUUAUUGACCUCGAUUCAUUUACAGACGAAUCAUAUUUAUGUGUUGAAGAAAUAUAUGUUUAUUUAAUCCAAUUCAUUAUUCUUUGGGGGUCGAAAAAAAGCUUGCUUUGCUUACUUUCGUGUGGAUGUCUCAAUUAUACACCAAUUAAGAGAGGAAUCGAAGCAAGUCAAGCAAAAAUUGCUUGAUUCAUCAAUGGAUGUCACCAAUGAAAAGAAGCGGACAAAGCUAAGAAGGCGAAGGCCGAUAGAUGAAGCAUUCAGGAGUUAGUAUUUCCUAUCCUCUGCAUGAGACAUCAUUCUUAUUCUCAUGUUAUUUUUCUUUCUCUAAAGAUUGUACCCCUUUUGUGCAACUUUUGUAGGCAUUUAUGCCAUUUUUGUAUAUUUAUUAAAUUGGAGGAUAAUGCAUUUGCUUUAAAAAAGG
rnacentral:lncRNA from 1 species